ACUCCUACGGGAGGCAGCAGUGAGGAAUAUUGGUCAAUGGAGGGAACUCUGAACCAGCCAUCCCGCGUGUAGGAAGACGGCCUUAUGGGUUGUAAACUACUUUUAUACAGGAAGAAACGUACCCUCGUGAGGGUGCCUGACGGUACUGUAGGAAUAAGCACCGGCUAACUCCGUGCCAGCAGCCGCGGUAAUACGGAGGGUGCGAGCGUUGUCCGGAUUUAUUGGGUUUAAAGGUGCGUAGGCGGCCUGUUAAGUCAGUGGUGAAAGGUAUCAGCUCAACUGAUGACGUGCCAUUGAAACUGGCGGGCUUGAGUACAGACGAGGUAGGCGGAAUUUAUGGUGUAGCGGUGAAAUGCAUAGAUACCAUAAAGAACACCGAUAGCGAAGGCAGCUUACUAGGCUGAGACUGACGCUGAGGCACG
rnacentral:rRNA from 1 species